rnacentral:tRNA from 3 species
ACGGGCAUAGUUCAAUGGUAGAAUAGCGGUCUCCAAAACCGUUGAUACGGGUUCGAAUCCUGUUGCCCGUGCCA